rnacentral:rRNA from 2 species
CCUACGGGAGGCAGCAGUAGGGAAUCUUCGGCAAUGGACGAAAGUCUGACCGAGCAACGCCGCGUGAGUGAAGAAGGUUUUCGGAUCGUAAAACUCUGUUGUUAGAGAAGAACAAGGAUGAGAGUAACUGUUCAUCCCUUGACGGUAUCUAACCAGAAAGCCACGGCUAACUACGUGCCAGCAGCCGCGGUAAU